UUAACCGUGAGGUUAUAUCUGAAGAAAGCGAGACUACAAACCUCGGUACUGACGAACAGAAACCGUAUGCAGAGGCAUAGAUACUUGGGUAAGCAAGCACAUCAUUGUAACGCCCCAAGAAUAUGAGAAAGGGUAUUAAUUUAGAUACGGCAGUUAUUGAGGGAAACCUGCCUGC
rfam:Cellulophaga algicola DSM 14237, complete genome.